rnacentral:misc_RNA from 1 species
AAGACUAUAGACCUGCGGAGUACCUGCGGAGGGAUCAUUACUGUGAUUUACUACUACACUGCGUGAGCGGAACGAAAACAACAACACCUAAAAUGUGGAAUAUAGCAUAUAGUCGACAAGAGAAAUCUACGAAAAAACAAACAAAACUUUCAACAAUGGAUCUCU